GGGGCAGGAGAAGCACCAGUGGUUAAAUGGCACAGCCUGGAGUUAGCGGCAGAUGAGAAGACCGUAUAGUGGCUGAAUGGCAGAGCCUGGAGUUGGCGGCAGCAUGAAGAGACCAUAUGGUGGCAGAAUAAGACAGCCUGGAGGUGGAAGCAACAGCAUCAGGAGUCCUGAAAGUGGCAAUACCAGUACUCAGUGACGAAGUGAAAGCCCUGUUGAUAAAGCAUAAUUUAGUAAAAGCUCUUUUGCAAUAAUUAAAGGUUGUCGCUGGAGUAGUAGAGACUUUUCUGCGGAGAAUAAAAU